GUGAAUCAUCGAAUCUUUGAACGCAAAUUGCACUCUCCGCUAAGAGGAUGCGUGUGUGAGGUUCAGCCUAUAAAAAAUCGACAUCGUUGCUGUUUCGCGGGGGCGUUCGUCGGAAAUUGGGUCAUCUUAAAUCUUUUGGUUUUAAGCGACUGAAAAUUUUCUUUUUGGUUCCAUUAACGUUUCUA
rnacentral:misc_RNA from 1 species